rnacentral:rRNA from 1 species
AUACGGAGGGUGCGAGCGUUAAUCGGAAUUACUGGGCGUAAAGGGUGCGUAGGCGGCUUGAUAAGUCGGAUGUGAAAGCCCCGGGCUUAACCUGGGAAUUGCAUUCGAUACUGUCAGGCCAGAGUAUGUCAGAGGUUGGCGGAAUUCCUGGUGUAGCGGUGAAAUGCGUAGAUAUCAGGAGGAACACCGGUGGCGAAGGCGGCUAACUGGGACAAUACUGACGCUGAGGCACGAAAGCGUGGGGAGCAAACAGGAUUAGAAACCCGGUAGUCC